AUUGAACGCUGGCGGCAUGCCUUACACAUGCAAGUCGAACGGUAACGGGUCCUUCGGGAUGCCGACGAGUGGCGAACGGGUGAGUAAUAUAUCGGAACGUGCCCAGUAGUGGGGGAUAACUGCUCGAAAGAGCAGCUAAUACCGCAUACGACCUGAGGGUGAAAGGGGGGGAUCGCAAGACCUCUCGCUAUUGGAGCGGCCGAUAUCAGAUUAGCUAGUUGGUGGGGUAAAGGCCUACCAAGGCAACGAUCUGUAGUUGGUCUGAGAGGACGACCAGCCACACUGGGACUGAGACACGGCCCAGACUCCUACGGGAGGCAGCAGUGGGGAAUUUUGGACAAUGGGCGCAAGCCUGAUCCAGCAAUGCCGCGUGCAGGAAGAAGGCCUUCGGGUUGUAAACUGCUUUUGUCAGGGAAGAAAUCUUCUGGGCUAAUACCCCGGGAGGAUGACGGUACCUGAAGAAUAAGCACCGGCUAACUACGUGCCAGCAGCCGCGGUAAUACGUAGGGUGCGAGCGUUAAUCGGAAUUACUGGGCGUAAAGCGUGCGCAGGCGGCUUUGCAAGACAGAUGUGAAAUCCCCGGGCUCAACCUGGGAACUGCAUUUGUGACUGCAAGGCUAGAGUACGGCAGAGGGGGAUGGAAUUCCGCGUGUAGCAGUGAAAUGCGUAGAUAUGCGGAGGAACACCAAUGGCGAAGGCAAUCCCCUGGGCCUGUACUGACGCUCAUGCACGAAAGCGUGGGGAGCAAACAGGAUUGGAUACCCUGGUAGUCCACGCCCUAAACGAUGUCAACUGGUUGUUGGACGGCUUGCUGUUCAGUAACGAAGCUAACGCGUGAAGUUGACCGCCUGGGGAGUACGGCCGCAAGGUUGAAACUCAAAGGAAUUGGCGGGGACCCGCACAAGCGGUGGAUGAUGUGGUUUAAUUCGAUGCAACGCGAAAAACCUUACCUACCCUUGACAUGUCAAGAAUUCUGCAGAGAUGUGGAAGUGCUCGAAAGAGAACUUGAACACAGGUGCUGCAUGGCCGUCGUCAGCUCGUGUCGUGAGAUGUUGGGUUAAGUCCCGCAACGAGCGCAACCCUUGUCAUUAGUUGCUACGCAAGAGCACUCUAAUGAGACUGCCGGUGACAAACCGGAGGAAGGUGGGGAUGACGUCAGGUCCUCAUGGCCCUUAUGGGUAGGGCUACACACGUCAUACAAUGGCCGGUACAGAGGGCUGCCAACCCGCGAGGGGGAGCCAAUCCCAGAAAACCGGUCGUAGUCCGGAUCGUAGUCUGCAACUCGACUGCGUGAAGUCGGAAUCGCUAGUAAUCGCGGAUCAGCUUGCCGCGGUGAAUACGUUCCCGGGUCU
rnacentral:rRNA from 1 species